rnacentral:rRNA from 1 species
UACGAGGGGGGCGAGCGUUGUUCGGAAUUAUUGGGCGUAAAGGGUGCGUAGGCGGUUUGGUAAGUCUGAUGUGAAAUCUAUGGGCUCAACUCAUAGUCUGCAUCGGAAACUGCCGGGCUUGAGUAUGGGAGAGGUGAGUGGAAUUCCUGGUGUAGCGGUGAAAUGCGUAGAUAUCAGGAGGAACACCUGUGGCGAAAGCGGCUCACUGGACCAUAACUGACGCUGAGGCACGAAAGCGUGGGUAGCAAACAGG